GAGAGCAGAGCCUGGCCCCAGAAUUCCCAGGUGUUUUCAUUUGGUGAUCAGCACUAAACACAGAAGACUCACUAUGGAGUUUGGGCUGAGCUGGGUUUUCCUUGUUGUUAUUUUACAAGGUGUCCAGUGUGAGGUGCAGCUGCUGGAGUCUGGGGGAGGCUUGGUACAGCCUGGGGGGUCCCUGAGACUCUCCUGUGCAGCCUCUGGAUUCACCUUCAGUGACUACUACAUGGACUGGGUCCGCCAGGCUCCAGGGAAGGGGCUGGAGUGGGUUGGCCGUAUUAGAAACAAAGCUAACAGUUACACCACAGAAUACGCCGCGUCUGUGAAAGGCAGAUUCACCAUCUCAAGAGAUGAUUCAAAGAACUCACUGUAUCUGCAAAGGAACAGCCUGAAAACCGAGGACACGGCCGUGUAUUACUGUACUAGAGACACAGUGACGGGAGGUCAGUGUGAGCCCAGACACAAACCUCCCUGCAGGGGCGCGCGGGGCCACCAGGGGGCGCUCGGGACCCACUGAGGGCGGGACAGGUCCCAGGAGCAGGUGCAGGGGGAGGUUUCCUGUCUCAGCUGCAGGAGGCGGGCUUGUUUUUGCAGGACUCUGGAGCCUUAUGAGGUUGCACUAUUUUAUUAUGGUUAUUUAUCAUGUGUUUUUUAUUGAUAUUUGUGUUUUAGUAAUUUUUACAUUUAUAUGUAGGGGUAUUUUUAAAAAAUACAUAACUUCAAGAAAUAAUUCUUCCUAAUAAUUUGCACUUAUUCCUCUAAAGUUUUAUUAACAUCUGUUGAUAUCAGCAACUACAUAGCUAUGCGUUACAUUAAUUUAUGUCUAUAAACAUAUGUGUGAAUACAUGAAACUAUGCAUACAUGUGUAGUCAUUUAUAUUUAACCUUAUAAUAAAAUGAUAAAUUAAAUAAAAUAAUUGAAUUAAAUUAAAAGAAUUAAACUUAAUGAUGAACUAAAUAUAAAUUAGAGCAAUCCGUAAUUGAUUUCAAUCCUUCUCUAUGGUUUACAUAAAUUGAUGUCUACUUGUAAGCUUAAGUAUAGUGAAUUGGUCAUUUUAAAAUAGCCAAGAACAAAUUUCAAAUGUUCUUGUCACCAAAAAAUGAUAAGGACUUGAAGAUUUGAGGUGAUAUAUAUGUCAAUUAGCUCGAUUCAAUUAUUCCACAUUGCAUUCAUAAAUCAUAACAUAGCUUUGUACCCCAUCAGUAUAUGGGGUACAACCAAAAUUUCUCAAUUUCCAAUGAAAUUUUAAUUAUAUAUUUUUUAAUUUGAUGCCUCUCUUUGGAUCAGGCCACCUCCUCAGGAUUACAGUGCUGUUCAGUUUUCUCAACAUGCUGUUGUACCAGAUAAGCACAAAACACUUAAUUUCAUUAUGCUUUGCUUUAGUUUUUCAAAACAACAUAAAGGUAAUAAUUUUCCCAACAAACAUAUUACAGCCUAUUCUACACUUUUUUAUUUUUUGUUUUUAUGAGAUAAAAUUUACAUGUAAGAAAAAAUUUAUAGAUCUGAAAUGUGUCACUAGAGAGUUUCCGGCAAAUGUGAAUACCCUUGUCCCGAACACCUAAGGUAGACUAAAGAGCAAGUCCAUACUCACAACAUGCGUCUUUCUCUGUGCCUGUGGUCAACCCCUACGUGGGGAAGUGUUUUGAUUUCUGACACCAUAGAUCCAUUUUUUUUCUGUUUUGAGCUUUAUAUAAAUGGAAUCAAACAUUAUAGACCUUUUUUUGGUAAGGGACUACUUUGCUAUUUUUUAGGUUAAUUCAUGCUAUUUAAUGUAUGAAAUUAGAUCAUCAUAGUGUCAUUUACUCAAUUAAUGGGCUGACUCUUAUAUGAAACCUCAAAGUCUUCAUGUAUAUAUGGAGAGAGAGAGAGAGAGGGAGGAAGGACAGAGAUUUUAUAUCUGAGACAGUCCAUUGAGUAAAUAUAUGACAAUAUAUUGAUCUAUUUUUUGUCUAUGGAUUUUACAUUUGUUUCCAGUAUAUGAAUAUUAUAAGCAAAGCUGUUACAAAUACAUUAGUGUAAGUUUUUCUAUCUAUGUUGUCUCAAUUUUGUUGAGAAAAUAUGAAGUAUGUUUUUCUUUAUUGUAAGAGGAAGCUUAAUUUUUUUCAGUUUUAUUGAGGUAAAAAUAAAAUAUUUUUUAAAAUG